CAGUAGCCGGCGGGAAUACAGAGGGUGCGAGCGUUAAUCGGAUUUACUGGGCGUAAAGCGUGCGUAGGCGGCUUCUUAAGUCGGAUGUGAAAUCCCUGAGCUUAACUUAGGAAUUGCAUUCGAUACUGGGAAGCUAGAGUAUGGGAGAGGAUGGUAGAAUUCCAGGUGUAGCGGUGAAAUGCGUAGAGAUCUGGAGGAAUACCGAUGGCGAAGGCAGCCAUCUGGCCUAAUACUGACGCUGAGGUACGAAAGCAUGGGGAGCAAACAGGAUUAGAUACCCCUGUAGUCCCUGUCUCUUAUA
rnacentral:rRNA from 1 species